UACGUAGGGUGCAAGCGUUGUCCGGAAUUAUUGGGCGUAAAGAGCUCGUAGGCGGUCUGUCGCGUCUGCUGUGAAAACUCGGGGCUUAACCUCGGGUCUGCAGUCGAUACGGGCUAGCUAGAGUGUGGUAGGGGAGAUCGGAAUUCCUGGUGUAGCGGUGAAAUGCGCAGAUAUCAGGAGGAACACCGGUGGCGAAGGCGGCCCUCUGGACGGUGACUGACGCUGAGACGCGAAAGCGUGGGGAGCAAACAGG
rnacentral:rRNA from 1 species